rnacentral:miRNA from 10 species
ACACGGGUUUCACUGGCACCCA